CCUACGGGUGGCAGCAGUGGGGAAUAUUGCGCAAUGGGCGAAAGCCUGACGCAGCGACGCCGCGUGAGGGAUGAAGGUCUUCGGAUCGUAAACCUCUGUCACCAGGGAAGAACGGUCACUGUGCUAAUCAGCAGUGAAUUGACGGUACCUGCAAAGGAAGCACCGGCUAACUCCGUGCCAGCAGCCGCGGUAAUACGGAGGGUGCGAGUGUUAAUCGGAAUUACUGGGCGUAAAGCGCUCGUAGGCGGUAUGUCAAUUCAAGGGUGAAAUCCCCGCGCUCAACGUGGGACCCGCCUUUGAAACUGGCAAACUGGAGUGUGUGAGAGGAUAGUGGAAUUCCAGGUGGAGGAGUGAAAGCCGUAGAUAUCUGGAGGAACAUCAGGGGCGAAGGCGACUAUCUGGCACAUAACUGACGCUGAGGGGCGAAAGCGUGGGUAGCAAACAGGAUUAGAUACCCUAGUAGUC
rnacentral:rRNA from 1 species